rnacentral:rRNA from 1 species
UACGUAGGGUGCAAGCGUUGUCCGGAAUUAUUGGGCGUAAAGAGCUCGUAGGCGGUUUGUCGCGUCGAAUGUGAAAACCCGGGGCUCAACCCCGGGCCUGCAUUCGAUACGGGCAGACUAGAGUUCGGUAGGGGAGUCUGGAAUUCCUGGUGUAGCGGUGAAAUGCGUAGAGAUCCGGAGGAACACCGAAGGCGAAGGCAGUGUCCUGGCGAGUGACUGACGCUGAGGUGCGAAAGCCAGGGGAGCGAACGGG